rnacentral:rRNA from 1 species
UACGUAGGGUGCAAGCGUUGUCCGGAAUUAUUGGGCGUAAAGAGCUCGUAGGCGGUCUGUCGCGUCGGCUAGUGAAACCCGGAGCUCAACUCCGGCCUGCAGUCGAUACGGGCAGACUGGAGUUCGGCAGGGAGACUGGAAUUCCUGGUGUAGCGGUGAAAUGCGCAGAUAUCAGGAGGAACACCGGUGCGAAGGCGGUCUCUGGCCGAUACUGACGCUGAGGCGCGAAGCGUGGGAGCAACAGG